UUAGUGUUGUACAUUCACCAACAAUACAAAAAAUCAUAAUACACCAUACUUCAUACUUAAAACACAAAUUUGGCAAACAAUUCUUCGUGACAAAAACAGUAAUGGAAGGCAAAGUUGGGUACAAGAGAAUCAUACUAGCACUCUUUUUCAUCGUUGCAACUGUUAUGCUGCAAGUCCUUGCUGUGAAAGCACAACAAGAGAAUCCAGUGUGCGAGGAGCACCUUGGACAUCCAUGCACUCCUGGUGUUAGAGAAUGUUGCGCUAACACCGGACGCCAAUGCGUGGCUGCUCCAUCUUCGAACGGUUUCCGGUGCAUGUAAAACCGUCAUCCAUCACCACCAACUGCAACAUCAAUGACAACCUAUUGUACUGCUUAAUUAUAUUAGAUCUCCUUUGAGUUCUAUACCUCUAUUAUGAAACUUUAAUGUCCUUUUUUUUUUUUUGUGUGUGUGUUUAUAUAUAUAUAUGUUUGGUGAAGUGGAUUAUCUAGUGUAAAAUAGUUGUCUCAUUUAAUAAAUAAAGUGAGUGUCCUUCGUUUUCUAA